UUGGUCCUGCCGUCAAUAUUUA
rnacentral:siRNA from 1 species